CCCCAGAAGACACCUCCUCCCCUCUCCUGGCUUUUGUUUUGUGAGAACACUAGGCUGGAUCAUCUGAGAGGAGGGUGACAGUGAUUCGGGUCACCGAAGUGUCAGCGUUUCUGAGAUCCUGACACCACCUCUUCCGUGCUGUUUCACCCGCUGACCUGGGAGGUCUCUCCCUCAGCCUGUGCACAAGUGAGAGGAGAAAGAACCCUCAACAGGAUUGUGAGACCACACUCCACCCAGCAAGACCAGCCCUGUGUCGUAGGCACCAGAGU